rnacentral:rRNA from 1 species
AUUGAACGCUGGCGGCAGGCCUAACACAUGCAAGUCGAGCGAGCGGCGGAGGGGUGAGUAAUAUCUGGGAAACUGCCUGCUGGAGGGGGAUAACUACUGGAAACGGUAGCGAAUACCGCAUACCAUCAGAGGUGCCCAGAUGGGAUUAGCGGGUAGGUGGGGUAACGGCUCACCUAGGCGACGAUCCCUAGCUGGUGUGAGAGGGUGACCAGCCACACUGGGACGGAGACACGGUCCAGACUCCUACGGGAGGCAGCAGUGGGGAAUAUUGGACAAUGGGCGCAAGCCUGAUGCAGCCAUGCCGCGUGUGUGAAGAAGGCCUUCGGGUUGUAAAGCACUUUCAGCGGGGAGGCGUUACCCGCAGAAGAAGCACCGGCUAACUCCGUGCCAGCAGCCGCGGUAAUUC